GAUGAACGCUGGCGGCGUGCCUAAUACAUGCAAGUCGAGCGAACAGACGAGGAGCUUGCUCCUCUGACGUUAGCGGCGGACGGGUGAGUAACACGUGGAUAACCUACCUAUAAGACUGGGAUAACUUCGGGAAACCGGAGCUAAUACCGGAUAAUAUAUUGAACCGCAUGGUUCAAUAGUGAAAGACGGUUUUGCUGUCACUUAUAGAUGGAUCCGCGCCGCAUUAGCUAGUUGGUAAGGUAACGGCUUACCAAGGCAACGAUGCGUAGCCGACCUGAGAGGGUGAUCGGCCACACGGGAACUGAGACACGGUCCAGACUCCUACGGGAGGCAGCAGGAGGGAAUCUUCCGCAAUGGGCGAAAGCCUGACGGAGCAACGCCGCGUGAGUGAUGAAGGUCUUCGGAUCGUAAAACUCUGUUAUUAGGGAAGAACAAAUGUGUAAGUAACUAUGCACGUCUUGACGGUACCUAAUCAGAAAGCCACGGCUAACUACGUG
rnacentral:rRNA from 1 species